CCUACGGGAGGCUGCAGUAGGGAAUAUUGCUCAAUGGGGGAAACCCUGAAGCAGCAACGCCGCGUGGAGGAUGAAGGUUUUCGGAUUGUAAACUCCUUUUGUUAGAGAAGAUAAUGACGGUAUCUAACGAAUAAGCACCGGCUAACUCCGUGCCAGCAGCCGCGGUAAUACGGAGGGUGCAAGCGUUACUCGGAAUCACUGGGCGUAAAGAGGGCGUAGGCGGGAUAGCAAGUCAGAUGUGAAAUACUAUGGCUUAACCAUAGAACUGCAUUUGAAACUGUUAUUCUAGAGUAUGGGAGAGGUAGGUGGAAUUCUUGGUGUAGGGGUAAAAUCCGUAGAGAUCAAGAGGAAUACUCAUUGCGAAGGCGACCUGCUAGAACAUAACUGACGCUGAUGCGCGAAAGCGUGGGGAGCAAACAGGAUUAGAUACCCCAGUAGUC
rnacentral:rRNA from 1 species